UAGAUUUUAGUUUAUCAAAAAUAUUAACUUGUCAAGUUAAAGAGGAGAAUUUACUCAAUUCUAAAUAAAU
rnacentral:tRNA from 2 species